AGAAGUCUUAAAUAUUGCAAAUGCUGUAUAAUUUUUGCAGUUAUACAACACAUCUAACGCUAGAGUAAACUCUAUGUCUACAUUAACACGUUUCCCGUGGUAGCAUAGUCUUGUCUCCCGUGCUUGUCCCCUUGCACGCUCCACUCAGGCACGUAGGCCUUUUUCUCACGCUCACCAGGCUGGCCCCACAUCAAGGCCCACAUUGCACAGAUUGGAGCCUUUGCAAAUUCCUGCGCAGCCUGCCAUGAGUUCCUGAGGGUGGGGCUUGCUAGGGGUGUUGAGAAUUGGUGGGAUCACCAGCCAGUCCAGAUGCUGGAAGAGUAGCCAGCAGGUUCCCCAGCUGCCUGUCUCAUUGCCCUGAGAGGCAGUUAGGUGGUUGCAGAGAGACAGGUCCUAAAGGUUUGGUGACGAAAGAAUUGGAAACCAGGGGGCUAAGACUCUCCAGGAGCCGAAGCAUCGGUCCCCUGGCUCAAGCCUCUUUUAUUUUUGCAAAUUACCUGAUAACAGCGAGCACGUACAACAUAGUAUUUGGCAUCUUGACAGGCCGUGCACCUGCAGUAUAUUCCAUACUGGGUCAUGAGUACAUCUGGCAGCAGACCAAACAUUCUUAUCCCAGGCCUGGAGCCCGUAUGAUGUCCUUCUGGAGAGUACGAGCAGUCACGGCAGCCUUCCGUCCUGGGAAUGAAACUGCUUUCAGUUUUCUUGCUGCUCUGUCCCUUUCCUUCAGGACAUUCUUAUGGUGCCUCCAGCUUCUUGUUCUCCAAUGGGUGAUCUCCUCUGGAGUGAAGAUUUGGCAUCUUCCCAAAUGA
rnacentral:lncRNA from 1 species